GCUGAUCAGGGGGCAGAGGGAGAGGGAAAGCAGGGGGUGCAAGCAGUAAGUGGAUUUACUGUGGGUAAAGGUCGCGUAGGGUGGUAAGUAAGUCAAAUGUGAAAUGCCCGAGGUUAACGUGGGAAUGGCAGUCGAUACUGGUUAGCUAGAGUAUGGGAGAGGAUGGGAGAAGUCCAGGUGUAGCGGUGAAAUGCGUAGAGAUCUGGAGGAAUACCGAUGGCGAAGGCAGCCAUCUGGCCUAAGACUGACACUGAGGUGCGAAAGCAUGGGGAGCAAACAGGAUUAGAUACCCCAGUAGUC
rnacentral:rRNA from 1 species